rnacentral:rRNA from 1 species
AAAAACAUCUUUUCUUGUUAGUUUUUGAAGUAUUGGCCUGCCCGCUGACUUUGGUGUUGAAGGGCCGCGGUAUUUUGACCGUGCAAAGGUAGCAUAGUCAUUAGUUCUUUAAUUGUGAUCUGGUAUGAAUGGCUUGACGAGGCAUGGGCUGUCUUAAUUUUGAAUUGUUUAUUGAAUUUAGUCUUUGAGUUAAAAUUCUUAGAUGUUUUUAUGGGACGAGAAGACCCUAUAGAGUUUGACAUUUGUUAUGGGUCCCUUUCUGUUUUGUGAGGGUUCACUGGGCCGUUUAAUAUGUUUUGUUGGGGUGAUGGGAGGGAUAUAAAUGAACCCCUCCUUUUGUUAUUAUAUUUAUUUAUAUUUACUUGAUCCAUUUAUUUUGAUUGUAAGAUUAAAUUACCUUAGG